GUUCCAGACUCCUACGGGAGGCAGCAGUGAGGAAUAUUGGUCAAUGGGCGGGAGCCUGAACCAGCCAAGCCGCGUGAAGGAAGAAGGCGCCAGGCGUCGUAAACUUCUUUUGUCGGGGAACAAAGGGCGCCACGCGUGGCGUUGUGAGUGUACCCGAAGAAAAAGCAUCGGCUAACUCCGUGCCAGCAGCCGCGGUAAUACGGAGGAUGCGAGCGUUAUCCGGAUUUAUUGGGUUUAAAGGGUGCGUAGACGGCCAGACAAGUCUGAAGUGAAAAUCCAGCGCUUAACGUUGGAAGUGCUUUGGAAACUGCCGGGCUAGAGUGCAGGAGGGGCAGGCGGAAUUCCUAGUGUAGCGGUGAAAUGCGUAGAUAUUAGGAGGAACACCAGUGGCGAAGGCGGCCUGCUGGACUGCAACUGACGUUGAGGCUCGAAGGCGUGGGGAGCAAACAGGAUUAGAUACCCCCGUA
rnacentral:rRNA from 1 species